CUGCCAUGAGUUUAAUUUUAAUGGCCGCAGUAAUUUGACUGUGCAAAGGUAGCAUAAUAAUUAGGCUUUUAAUUGGAGUCUGGUAUGAAUGAUUGGAUGAGAAAAUAACUUUCUUUAAUUUUUUAUUUGAAUUUAAUUUUUAAGUGAAAAAGCUUAAAUAUUUUUAUGGGACGAUAAGACCCUAUAGAGCUUUAUAAUUAUUUUUUAUCAUUUUUGUUUUAUAAUUUUGUUAUUUUAUUGAUUAUUUUGUUGGGGUGAUAAUUAAAUUUUUAAAACUUUAAUUUUUUUUUUCAUUUAUUUAUGUUAUUUUUGAUCUUUUAUUAUUGAUUUUAARAUUAAGUUACUUUAGGGAUAACAGGACCUUUUUUUAAUAUGUGUAAUCC
rnacentral:rRNA from 1 species